UCCGGUGUAUUGUAUCCUCACGUUUCCGGAGAUGACGUUGCUCUUGUGUUCUCGCGAGAGGCGGGAAAGGGCGCAGGGUUUGAAACAUGGCGGACGACGUAGACCAGCAACAAACUACCAACACUGUAGAGGAGCCCCUGGAUCUUAUCAGGCUCAGCCUAGAUGAGCGAAUUUAUGUGAAAAUGAGAAAUGACCGAGAGCUUCGAGGCAGAUUACAUGCUUAUGAUCAACAUUUAAAUAUGAUCUUGGGAGAUGUGGAAGAAACUGUGACUACUAUAGAAAUUGAUGAAGAAACAUAUGAAGAGAUAUAUAAACAGAAACGUGCCGAAUGCCUGUUACCUGCUAGGCGCUUAAGAAGACAGUGCUGAGCACCAGAGGCACAGCCCCACCACCACGGAGCCUGCUGUUGAGCAGGACUGGCUGAGAAAACCGAGACUCAGAAAGCUUGCCCAACUUGCUGAAGUUAUGCAGCAAGGACAUGGCAGAGCUGGGAAGCCCAUGCUGUCUCCACUGCUGGUAACAAGGGGCGUAAAGGAGAGAAGCUGCUGAGUUGGCCACUCCUCAGGUGGCUCCCUCGGAGCUGUCACACCCACCUGUGUCCAUGGCCUCAACACCGCAGCAAAACAGAACACGCUGUAUCUCAGCCAUUUCCAGUUGUGUUUUUUAUGAUUCCAUGGCCUCUCAGUCAUUUAUUAUUUAUCCGUAUUUUAAAUUAUUAAUUUUUUAUCAUUUACUAUUUCAUUUAUCUGUUUUUUAUUAUUUCAUGGCCUCUUGGAGGAGACAAAGGGCUCUGUGGGGUGAGAAAAUGUGAGAUUGGAAUGACGCACAGGAAGGAUUUAUGUCUGCUACAACACACGAGCCUGGAGAAGGGGGAAGGAGGGUAUUGUAUGUUUGAGGACACAUCAUGUGUAUUUGAGAAUAUAACUUUCAACAAGAAGGGUUGCAUGGACCAUAAGCUUAUACUUCCCAUAAGCAAGAAGGCUGUCUGUUUCACUGGACAAAUAUUGUGUUCAAUUGAACCUUAGAAGUAAUCUAAGUUGGAGAUGAGAUCAAAUAACCUUGACAGAAGAAGCAAAUCAAAGUAACAAAAUAAAAACCCACUUCAAAAAUGUUUAAUGAAGACACUGAGCAUGAAGAAUUAAAACAAUGUAAAGGAGUUGGGGUGGGGGGCUACAACUUCUUAAAAGAUGUUUCUUUUUUUUUUUCUUUUUUUUUUUUUCACCUCACUGAUCCUUUCCCUACUUGAAAGCUUUCUCUGCCAGUGAAUCACUCAACUAAUUGCCAGGUCCUGUUUCCCUGUUUAUAAUCUUGAGCCUGAAGAAGACUUCUGUAAAGGCCACAGUAAAUUUCCCUGGCUAGCAAGACAAACAUUUAUCCUAGGGGCUGGAUUACUAUGCUGGGAGGUCUUAGAUUCCUGGGAUUUAGUGCAUGCUCGCGCCUCACAUUUUUUGGGUGACCUUCACCUCUCUGUGCCUCAGUUUCUGAAGCUGCACAAUGAAAACAAUGUUCCCCACUGAGUCACAUCCUAGGAUGGCUCUGAGCUCCCCGUUGGAAGGUGGAAAAGGGUAUUUGGCGGAGGGUAUGAUUUAUCUGUGCCUCUAAAUGCUUCUCCUCCUCCUUCUGGAAACUGGCUCAUUAUGUUGGGAAUUGAAAUGCAUUCUCUGUGGGCAUAUGAAGUAGAUUCCUUAUGGGAAUGUUUAGUGGGUGGGUGAAUAAAAGAGACACAUUAACAAAGUUGUGUUAUUCUAGAGAAAAAAAUGUCAUAUCUUCAUUUUUUUGUGACCACAAAGUGCAGAGUUGAGGAGGGGGUGGACAAGAAAACAGUAUUGUUCUUUGGAGCUAUUAUUCCCAGAUGGCUUGCCCAUGAUAGAAGCUUUUCUGUCACUGUUGAAUGUCAUUUUUCCAAGAAAGCCAGUCAGCUAACUGGCCACUAUGUGGGUGAUGACAUGCCCCACCUUUCUCUUUAGUGAGUUCCCCUUCCUUGAAAGUAAGAAUAGAGUGAAUAAACCCUCGUCAAAAGGUGGGGUAGAGAAAGUUCAAUCAGAAGAGGGGUUCAACUAAGUACCACUCAUUUUCCUCCAACCUUAAGAUUCAGAGAUUCUAGUCCCUUUUGGUGCCACAUCCUCUUCUGAAUAGACAAUCCAAGCUGUGCAGCAGUGCGCAGGGACAAAGGGCUCUGUGGGGUGAGAAAAUGUGAGACUGGAAUGACACACAGAAGGGAUUUAUGUCUGCUACAGCACACGAGCCAGGAGAACAGGGAGGGAGGCUAUUAUAUGUUUGAGGACACAUCAUAUGUAUUUGAGAAUAUAACUUUCAACAGGAAGGGUUGCAUGGACCAUGGACUCUGUAGCCUGAAAGGAAUCCUGGGAGCCCCCGGAAUCCCUCUGGAUGUAGCUUUCAGCCACAGGAAGCUCUGUUACUGAGGAGAGACUGGAGGAACCCCAGCACCAAAAACCCAGAGAGGAUGUAGAAAGUGAUGAUCAGCGGAGGAAAGAGAAAAAGCGGCCAGAAGUUGUCCAUAGGCCAGGCCUGGGAUAUAUGUCUUAACUCCAGGUUCACGAUUCCUCUCAGCCACACCUCCCAGGGUCUGGCUCUGUCACCCAGGCUGGAAUGCAACAACAUAAUGAUGGCUCACUGCAACCUUGACCUCCUGAGCUUGAGCAAUCCUCCAGUUUCAGCAUCCCAAGCAGCUGGGCCUACAGAUGUGUGCCACCACACCUGGCUAAUUGUGUGUGUGUGUGUGUGUGUGUGUGUGUGUGUGUGUGUGUGUGUACUUUUUGUAGAGACAGGCCUCACUAUGUUGCCCAAGCUGGUCUCAAACCCCUGGCCUCAAAAACAAUCCUCCCUCCUCAGCAUCCCAAAGUGCUGGGAUUACAGGUGUGAGCCACUGCACUGGGCCAAGGGCAUAAUUUUUAAUGAAAAUUAAGGCAAAGAACAGUUAUGGGAGACAAAUAGAUGACAGUAUCAAGGACUUUUUCAUUAGCAAUUAACAACAACAAAAUAAAACCUCAAACUGGCUUAAGAAAAAAAAAAAAAGAGCAGCGGGAGCUGACUGUAGACAUGGCUGCAUUCAGGAGCGCAGGCUAUGCCACCAAGAAUCGGUCUUGCUCCGUCCCUUGGCUCUGCUCACCCUGCUAUUGACUCCGUUCUCAGUCAGAUGCUCCCCUCGUUCCCCUCGUGGUGACAGGAUGGCGCAGCAGCCCCUAGUGGACAUUGUGCAGCUCAGUCACCCACCUCAUUCCCGAAACGCCAACCAAAGCCCCAGGAUUCAUUAUGGUUGGCCCAGCCCAGGUCAUGUGCCCCUUCCAAUUACUGGCACUGAUUGGCCGGUUCUGGUGAUGAAGCAGACAGAGGGCUGGGACCCUGGUCUCCUGCCUUCUUUCAGUUUCCUGACUUGUCCGUUCGUCUUCAACUGGCCCACUGUUCCCCGGGCUCUCAAAACCACACCUCAUUUAGGCCUCUGGCAAGAAAUGGCUACAUCCUCUACAGCGGUCUUUUGCAUUGACUUGGACUCUUCUGUUGGCUUAAAGGCAGAUUCAGGACAUGCCAGUUCAGAUAGAGGGAGACAGACUCGUGUGUGAUCCUGGGAUGGCAGAGGAUUUUUCAUCUGAUGUGCCAGUUAUGGUUAAUAGUGGCUGCCCGAGGGCUGUUUUGCAGAGGAUGGUAAAGCUAAGUCCAGACUCGGAGGGAAAAGAAGCUGUGAUUGAUUAAUAAUGUCUGCCGGGAGCCCCGGAGCAGUCAGUGGUGGCCGACUUGCCGUGUAUCGGCCAAACUUCAUUGCAGAAAGAGCAUGGAUCACGGAAAGCAGCAGCCCUGUUCACAGACACCUCCACCUCUCAGCCCUGAGAUCACACGCUAGUUACUUAGCUUUACAGGAAACAAUUCUCCCAUUUGCACAAUGAGGACGUGUAUCCCAAAGAGUUGCUGAAAGAAUCAAUAGAGACAAUGUAUGUAAACUGAUCACGAUCCUGCACGGAAAACAGAGGCUUUGGCUUUUAACAGAGGUGGAAAGUCAUGUUGUUUUUCCAGGGGCCCCACUCCAAAAGUGCUGGUAUGGCCUAGGACAUCUCAGGAAAUUUUUUUUUCUUUUUUUUUCACUUUCUUUCUUUCUUUUUUUUUUUUUUUUUUUUUGAGAUGGACUCUCGCUCUGUUGCCCAGGCUGGAGUGCAGUGGCUCGAUCUCGGCUCACUGCAAGCUCUGCCUCCCCGGUUCACACCAUUCUCCUGCCUCAGCCUCGCGAGUAGCUGGGACUACAGCGGCCUGCCGCCACCCCCGGCUAAUUUUUUGAAGUUUUUUUUAGUAGAGACGGGGUUUCACCGUGUUAGCCGGGAUGAGUCUCGAUCUCCUGACCUCGUGAUCCCCCUGCCUCGGCCUCCCAAAGUGCUGGGAUUACGAGCGUGAGCCACAGUGUGCGGCCGGGAAAAUUUUCUUGAGUUCGAACUUCUUUUUUUGAAAUAUGCGCGGUUGACACCUGGCCUUAUCCCUUCAGGCCUUCACAGUUCAGGCCGUUUGGCCCCGCUUCUCCUCGUUGACUUUCCCACCAACAGUGCAUUGACCAGCACCACCGUCUGAGAACUCACAAAGGAUCUGAUUUACCUUCCUAGGAUUCCGUAUCACCUCUUCUUACACCAAGGGACCCAGUGCAUGGCAAAAGCUGUAUGAAAAUGGGCACAUGGCCACAGAACAGACAGGUUUUUCCAAGGAAGGCAUCAGCAGAAGCUGCUUGCUGGCUCUUUGCUAGAAGCACAGCUAAGGAGCCUGCCUAGGGGAGAUACCUGGCACGGUUGGCAUGCUAUACUGUUUUUCAUUGAGGUAAAAUUCGUAUAACAUAAAAUUCACCAUUUUAGCCGUUUUAAAAUGUACAAUUCAGUGACUUUUAGUGCAUUCACAGGAUAGUGCAACCAUCACCACUAUCUAAUUCCAGAACAUUUUCAUUCAUUCAAAAGACACCUUAGACUCAUCCAGCAGUCAUUCCCAUUUUCCCCUCUCCUCAGCCCCUGAAAACAGCUAAUUUGCUUUCUGUCUGUAUAGAUUCACCUGUUCUGGACACUUCAUAUAAAUGAGUUCAUACAAGUCA